UACGGAGGGUGCAAGCAUUGAUCGGAAUUACUGGGCGUAAAGCGCACGUAGGCGGCUUUUUAAGUCAGGGGUGAAAUCCCGGGGCUCAACCCCGGAACUGCCCUUGAAACUGGAGAGCUAGAAUCUUGGAGAGGCGAGUGGAAUUCCGAGUGUAGAGGUGAAAUUCGUAGAUAUUGGGAAGAACACCGGUGGCGAAGGCGGCGACCUGGUCCGAUACUGACGCUGAGGCGCGAAAGCGUGGGGAGCAAACAGG
rnacentral:rRNA from 1 species